rnacentral:misc_RNA from 1 species
UUGUGGAGGAGGACGCCGAAGGUGGGGCUAAUGACUGGGGUGAAGUCGUAACAAGGUAGCCGUACCGGAAGGUGCGGCUGGAUCACCUCCUAACAGGGAGACAACAAAAUGUUUAAUUUUAUUAUUUUGUCACCUUAGGUCGAUCGGUAUCUCACGUUCUUAACUAAUUAAGAAUUUCAAUUCCUAAGUUUUUCUAGGUCACACCCAUUAUUUUUCCUGGGCCAUUAGCUCAGGUGGUUAGAGCGCACCCCUGAUAAGGGUGAGGUCCCUGGUUCAAGUCCAGGAUGGCCCAUAUCUCUAUGUUGGGGGUAUAGCUCAGUUGGUAGAGCGCCUGCUUUGCAAGCAGGAUGUCAGCGGUUCGAGUCCGCUUACCUCCACUGAUUACCACCUCUUCCAUAAUCUGAAGAAAGGAAAUUUUUUGAGUCGUGAUCAACUUCUGAACGAAUCUAGCUUCCUAAUGAAAGCAUUAAGAUGCUGGACUCAUUGAAUUAAUUUCAUUGUUUUCAGAGAACCUUGACAACUGCAUAGAUUAUUUUUAAAGACAAUAAGCAUCUUUAAUGAUGCAGAUUUAUUAUUUGUGCAAAUGCAUUAAUAACAAUUCUAUUAAGCUGAUGCUUCAAUUUUGAAGUUAUUGGUCAAGCUACAA